rnacentral:rRNA from 1 species
AUUGAACGCUGGCGGCAUGCCUUACACAUGCAAGUCGAACGGCAGCACGGGAGCAAUCCUGGUGGCGAGUGGCGAACGGGUGAGUAAUGUAUCGGAACGUACCUUUCAGUGGGGGAGUAACGUAGCGAAAGUUACGCUAAUACCGCAUAUUCUGUGAGCAGGAAAGCAGGGGAGUCGCAAGACCUUGCGCUGAUUGAGCGGCCGAUAUCAGAUUAGCUAGUUGGUGAGGUAAAGGCUCACCAAGGCGACGAUCUGUAGCGGGUCUGAGAGGAUGAUCCGCCACACUGGAACUGAGACACGGUCCAGACUCCUACGGGAGGCAGCAGUGGGGAAUUUUGGACAAUGGGCGCAAGCCUGAUCCAGCCAUGCCGCGUGAGUGAAGAAGGCC